rnacentral:rRNA from 1 species
AGUAAUGUAUGGGGAUCUGCCCGAUAGAGGGGGAUAACUACUGGAAACGGUGGCUAAUACCGUAUAAUGUCUACGGACCAAAGCAGGGGCUCUUCGGACCUUGCACUAUCGGAUGAACCCAUAUGGGAUUAGCUAGUAGGUGGGGUAAAGGCUCACCUAGGCGACGAUCUCUAGCUGGUCUGAGAGGAUGAUCAGCCACACUGGGACUGAGACACGGCCCAG